rnacentral:rRNA from 1 species
GAUGAACGCUGGCGGCGUGCCUAAUACAUGCAAGUCGAGCAAACGGACGAGAAGCUUGCUUCUCUGAUGUUAGCGGCGGACGGGUGAGUAACACGUGGAUAACCUACCUAUAAGACUGGGAUAACUUCGGGAAACCGGAGCUAAUACCGGAUAAUAUUUUGAACCGCAUGGUUCAAAAGUGAAAGACGGUCUUGCUGUCACUUAUAGAUGGAUCCGCGCUGCAUUAGCUAGUUGGUAAGGUAACGGCUUACCAAGGCAACGAUGUAUAGCCGACCUGAGAGGGUGAUCGGCCACACUGGAACUGAGACACGGUCCAGACUCCUACGGGAGGCAGCAGUAGGGAAUCUUCCGCAAUGGGCGAAAGCCUGACGGAGCAACGCCGCGUGAGUGAUGAAGGUCUUCGGAUCGUAAAACUCUGUUAUUAGGGAAGAACAUAUGUGUAAGUAACUGUGCACAUCUUGACGGUACCUAAUCAGAAAGCCACGGCUAACUACGUG